rnacentral:rRNA from 1 species
UACAGAGGUCUCAAGCGUUGUUCGGAUUCAUUGGGCGUAAAGGGUGCGUAGGUGGCGCGCUAAGUCGGGUGUGAAAUCUCGGAGCUUAACUCCGAAAUUGCAUUCGAUACUGGCGUGCUUGAGGACUGGAGAGGAGACUGGAAUUCAUGGUGUAGCAGUGAAAUGCGUAGAGAUCAUGAGGAAGACCAGUGGCGAAGGCGGGUCUCUGGACAGUUCCUGACACUAAGGCACGAAGGCCAGGGGAGCAAACGGG